CUCUUUGCAACCCAUGGACUGGGCCUCCCAGGCUCCGCUAUCCAAGUGAUUCUCCAGGCAUGAAUGCUGGAGUGGGUUGCCUUUCCCUUCUCCAGGGGAUCUUUCUGACCAUGGGACUGAACCCAGGUUUCCUGCAUUGAAGGUGGAUUCUUUAUCAUCUGAGCCACCAGGGAAGCAGUCUGGGGUAAUAUAGUGAAUAUUGGGCAUCUUCUGUAUGCAAGAUACUGUGCCAACACUUUGGGAUAUGUAAAAAAAAAGAGGUAGUCUGUACACAUUCAUUCUAGUGGGAGAAGGUAUUUACAGAAUUUACAAAUAGCAAUAAAGAUUUAGCUUCACAGUAAAGGUUGAAUGGUACAGUAGGCAUUAAAGAAAGGGAUUUUUAUGAGUCAGCAGGAUUUGGAACGGAUGUAGAAUUUUGACAGGUUGGAAUACUUAAAGUGGAGGAGGGUGGAGUCCAGGGCGAUGGCCCAGAUAGAAGAGGCAAGAGGAUUAAGCGUUAAUCCACUGAAAGAAUAAGGUCCAUUUGGGGAGCUAGUGGGAGAUGAAUCUGCACACAUACCUUGUGUUCACACUGUAGAAGGUGCUGGAUCUUGGUGUUGAGUGCUUUCCACCUGCCAGUGCUCUUCUGGAUGCAAGUUCAGUGACUUGAUCCUCACAGCAGUCCUCUGAGGCAAGAGUGCCCUGAUGAUCCCCAUUUUACAGAUGAGGCCACCUGCAGGCUGCACAGCUAGGAAGUGAGAGCAUUGAGAUUUAGGCAGUUUGGCAUCAGUCUAGGCUCUUUUCCUGUACAUAGUUCUUUGUUAUGGUCAGGUUGCUCGGUGGCAUGGGAGAGAGCUCUGGUCACUUGAUCUUUAUGAUGGAAGGACAGUGAGUUGGGUCUGAGGGAUUCAGGGUGGGUGACAGUCUGUCACAUGGACACAGUCCAGCAGUUCACUGCUAGUGUGGUGUAGACAAAGGGUUGCUUUUUACUCUCAGGUAGCAUCUUUUCAGCUCUUAGAACUAAGUCUUUGGUUUAUUUUUCCAAGAUUGAGAAACUCUUGAGAUUUUUCUCCAUUUAAACUUUGUUC
ensembl:lncRNA